UACGGAGGGUCCGAGCGUUAUCCGGAAUCAUUGGGUUUAAAGGGUCCGCAGGCGGUUCAUUAAGUCAGAGGUGAAAUCCUACCGCUCAACGGUAGCAUUGCCUUUGAUACUGAUGGACUUGAGUUAUAGUGAAGUAGUUAGAAUGUGUAGUGUAGCGGUGAAAUGCAUAGAUAUUACACAGAAUACCGAUUGCGAAAGCAGAUUACUAACUGUAUACUGACGCUGAGGGACGAAAGCGUGGGUAGCGAACAGG
rnacentral:rRNA from 1 species